UUGCUUACUGUUAAUAACAGUCAGUCUGCUACUUUUGGCCGUCGUGAUUUCUAGGCGCGGAUAAAUUUUUGUUGAUUGCUCACUUUGCGCUAAAUUCGAAAACAAGAUUUUAAGAAUAUAUUUACGAGUUUUUGACAAUACGUGCGACAUCGACAAUAAAAAGAACACUAUAAAAAAUAAAUAUUAAUAAGUUCCCCAUUGACGCAGAAGCUUACGCGGUGCAGCAGCCGACGCCGCUAUCGUCGCAUCACAUUAUUCACGCAUCCCCCUCACACACACACACACACACACACGUACAAGCAAACCUGUUACAUAUUUAAAAUCCCAAUUGAGAAUUUGCGUGUUUCCAUUAAAAAUACAAAAACCCCCCGAAAAUAAAAAGUAAAUAAGAAAAGUGUUUCGGGGUCAAUGCUGUUUAUUCAUUGUGGCUGCUGUUAGCAAGAGACAGAGACAGAUAGAGGGGGAGAUUGAGAGAG